rnacentral:rRNA from 1 species
GACGAACGAUGGCGGCGUGCUUAACACAUGCAAGUCGAACGGAAAGGCCCUGCUUUUGUGGGGUGCUCGAGUGGCGAACGGGUGAGUAACACGUCAGUAACCUGCCCUUGACUUUGGGAUAACUUCAGGAAACUGGGGCUAAUACCGGAUAGGAGCUCCUGCUGCAUGGUGGGGGUUGGAAAGUUUCGGCGGUUGGGGAUGGACUCGCGGCUUAUCAGCUUGUUGGUGGGGUAGUGGCUUACCAAGGCUUUGACGGGUAGCCGGCCUGAGAGGGUGACCGGCCACAUUGGGACUGAGAUACGGCCCAGACUCCUACGGGAGGCAGCAGUGGGGAAUAUUGCACAAUGGGCGGAAGCCUGAUGCAGCAACGCCGCGUGCGGGAUGACGGCCUUCGGGUUGUAAACCGCUUUCGCCUGUGACGAAGCGUGAGUGACGGUAAUGGGUAAAGAAGCACCGGCUAACUACGUG